UUCGGGUCGUAAAACUCUGUUGUCCGGGAAGAACAAGUAGGGGAAAACUGCCGGUACCUUGACGGUACCUGACCGAAAAGCCACGGCUAACUACGUGCCCACAGCCCCGGUAAUACCUAAGUGGCAAGCGUUGUCCGGAAUUAUUGGGCGUAAAGCGCGGGCAAGCGGUCCUUUAAGUCUGAUGUGGAAGCCCCCUGCUCCACCGUGGAGGGGCAUUGGAAACUGGGGGACUUGGGUGGCUAAAAAGAAAGCGGAAUUCCCCGUGGAACGGUGAAAUGGCUAAAAAUGUGGAAGAACUCCCAUGGCCAAAGGCGCUUUCUGGUCUGUAACUGAACCUGAAGCGCCAAAGCCUGGGGAGCAAAAAAGAAUAAAUU
rnacentral:rRNA from 1 species